GGGAGCUUGCUCUUGGAUUCAGCGGCGGACGGGUGAGUAAUGCCUAGGAAUCUGCCUGGUAGUGGGGGAUAACGUCCGGAAACGGGCGCUAAUACCGCAUACGUCCUGAGGGAGAAAGUGGGGGAUCUUCGGACCUCACGCUAUCAGAUGAGCCUAGGUCGGAUUAGCUAGUUGGUGGGGUAAAGGCCUACCAAGGCGACGAUCCGUAACUGGUCUGAGAGGAUGAUCAGUCACACUGGAACUGAGACACGGUCCAGACUCCUACGGGAGGCAGCAGUGGGGAAUAUUGGACAAUGGGCGAAAGCCUGAUCCAGCCAUGCCGCGUGUGUGAAGAAGGUCUUCGGAUUGUAAAGCACUUUAAGUUGGGAGGAAGGGCAGUAAGUUAAUACCUUGCUGUUUUGACGUUACCAACAGAAUAAGCACCGGCUAACUUCGUGCCAGCAGCCGCGGUAAUACGAAGGGUGCAAGCGUUAAUCGGAAUUACUGGGCGUAAAGCGCGCGUAGGUGGUUCAGCAAGUUGGAUGUGAAAUCCCCGGGCUCAACCUGGGAACUGCAUCCAAAACUACUGAGCUAGAGUACGGUAGAGGGUGGUGGAAUUUCCUGUGUAGCGGUGAAAUGCGUAGAUAUAGGAAGGAACACCAGUGGCGAAGGCGACCACCUGGACUGAUACUGACACUGAGGUGCGAAAGCGUGGGGAGCAAACAGGAUUAGAUACCCUGGUAGUCCACGCCGUAAACGAUGUCGACUAGCCGUUGGGAUCCUUGAGAUCUUAGUGGCGCAGCUAACGCGAUAAGUCGACCGCCUGGGGAGUACGGCCGCAAGGUUAAAACUCAAAUGAAUUGACGGGGGCCCGCACAAGCGGUGGAGCAUGUGGUUUAAUUC
rnacentral:rRNA from 1 species